UACGGAGUGUGCAAGCGUUACUCGGAAUCACUGGGCGUAAAGCGCACGUAGGCGGAUUGCCAAGUCGGGGGUGAAAUCCUGGAGCUCAACUCCAGAACUGCCUUCGAUACUGGCGAUCUUGGAGUCCGGGAGAGGUGAGUGGAACUGCGAGUGUAGAGGUGAAAGUCGUAGAGAUUCGCAAGAACACCAGUGGCGAAGGCGGCUCACUGGCCCGGUACUGACGCUGAGGUGCGAAAGCGUGGGGAGCAAACAGG
rnacentral:rRNA from 1 species